AUCGCUUCUCGGCCUUUUGGCUAAGAUCAAGUGUAGUAACAUACAAAUAAUUGUUCAGUAAUGAUCACAGUUUUUAAUAACCUUU
ensembl:snRNA LOC120095485 U2 spliceosomal RNA